rnacentral:lncRNA from 1 species
CUUUGGCUAGCCGGGUGGAGGGGAGCUGAAGAUGAUGGGGGCGCUGGCGCCUGUGAUGCUGUGGCUUCUGUGACGUUCCGGCCAGGAGACUUGCAGGAAACUUGAAGGUUCAUGCCAAGGAUGUGGGUGGGAACACGUGAGGAUCUUUUGUGUCUUGGAGGUCGAGCAGCCAACUCCCCGGGACCAAGACUUGGGGCAGGCAGCUGGCCACUCCGCAGUAGACCAGGCAGGUAGAUCUCUUGAGGUCAAGGCCAGCCUGGUCUACAGAGUGAGUUCCAGGACAGCCAUGGGAAUAAAGGCCACACCACCGCUUUGCUGACUUGGAAUUUUUGAGGACUCCUGUCUCCACCUGGGUUUAGUGUACUCAGUGACUACAGGCUCAGUGACUUCAUGCCCAGUUUAUAAAUUCUGGAAAGCCAAGACUUCCUGUGUGCUUGGAUAUACCUACCCAUUUAAUAACUGUAAACACAUCAAGUAAACAUCAGUCAGUGGCAUGUGUCAGAUGGCACCUCCAAGGAUAAAGGACUGAAGAAGGGGCCUGGGUACCAGGAAGACCUGAGAUGCUAAGGAUGGUGGUGAAGCAGGCCAAUGAGGAUCCUUAACUCACACUCUAGAGCAGGGGUGAUCAACGUUCCUCAUGCUACCUUUGAAUACACUUCCUCAUGUCAUGAUGACCCUCCCAACCAUAACAUUAUUUAGUUGCUGCUUCAAAGUAAUUUUGCUACAAUUAUGAAUCAGAAUGUAUAUAUAUGAUAUGCAGAUGGGCUUGGUGACCCCUGUGAGAGAGCUGUUCGACCCUCACAGACCAAAGCUGGUGGCAUGGGAAAUCUCAAAAAGCAAGAU